AAUCAAGGCUGAGGCGUGAUGACGAGGCACUACGGUGCUGAAGCGACAAAUGCCCUGCUUCCAGGAAAAGCCUCUAAGCAUCAGGUAACAUCAAAUCGUACCCCAAACCGACACAGGUGGUCAGGUAGAGAAUACCAAGGCGCUUGAGAGAACUCGGGUGAAGGAACUAGGCAAAAUGGUGCCGUAACUUCGGGAGAAGGCACGCUGAUAUGUAGGUGAAGCGACUUGCUCGUGGAGCUGAAAUCAGUCGAAGAUACCAGCUGGCUGCAACUGUUUAUUAAAAACACAGCACUGUGCAAACACGAAAGUGGACGUAUACGGUGUGACGCCUGCCCGGUGCCGGAAGGUUAAUUGAUGGGGUUAGCGGUAACGCGAAGCUCUUGAUCGAAGCCCCGGUAAACGGCGGCCGUAACUAUAACGGUCCUAAGGUAGCGAAAUUCCUUGUCGGGUAAGUUCCGACCUGCACGAAUGGCGUAAUGAUGGCCAGGCUGUCUCCACCCGAGACUCAGUGAAAUUGAACUCGCUGUGAAGAUGCAGUGUACCCGCGGCAAGACGGAAAGACCCCGUGAACCUUUACUAUAGCUUGACACUGAACAUUGAGCCUUGAUGUGUAGGAUAGGUGGGAGGCUUUGAAGUGUGGACGCCAGUCUGCAUGGAGCCGACCUUGAAAUACCACCCUUUAAUGUUUGAUGUUCUAACGUGGGCCCCUUACCGGGGUUGCGGACAGUGUCUGGUGGGUAGUUUGACUGGGGCGGUCUCCUCCUAAAGAGUAACGGAGGAGCACGAAGGUUGGCUAAUCCUGGUCGGACAUCAGGAGGUUAGUGCAAUGGCAUAAGCCAGCUUGACUGCGAGCGUGACGGCGCGAGCAGGUGCGAAAGCAGGUCAUAGUGAUCCGGUGGUUCUGAAUGGAAGGGCCAUCGCUCAACGGAUAAAAGGUACUCCGGGGAUAACAGGCUGAUACCGCCCAAGAGUUCAUAUCGACGGCGGUGUUUGGCACCUCGAUGUCGGCUCAUCACAUCCUGGGGCUGAAGUAGGUCCCAAGGGUAUGGCUGUUCGCCAUUUAAAGUGGUACGCGAGCUGGGUUUAGAACGUCGUGAGACAGUUCGGUCCCUAUCUGCCGUGGGCGCUGGAGAACUGAGGGGGGCUGCUCCUAGUACGAGAGGACCGGAGUGGACGCAUCACUGGUGUUCGGGUUGUCAUGCCAAUGGCACUGCCCGGUAGCUAAAUGCGGAAGAGAUAAGUGCUGAAAGCAUCUAAGCACGAAACUUGCCCCGAGAUGAGUUCUCCCUGACUCCUUGAGAGUCCUGAAGGAACGUUGAAGACGACGACGUUGAUAGGCCGGGUGUGUAAGCGCAGCGAUGCGUUGAGCUAACCGGUACUAAUGAACCGUGAGGCUUAACCUU
rnacentral:rRNA from 1 species